GACGAACGCUGGCGGCGUGCUUAACACAUGCAAGUCGAACGGAAAGGCCUGCUUUCCCUUGUGGAUUGCGGGUGCUCGAGUGGCGAACGGGUGAGUAACACGUGAGUGAUCUGCCCCCAACUUGGGUAUAAGCCUGGGAAACUGGGUCUAAUUCCCGAUAGGACUGCAGGGUGGUGCCUGUGGUGGAAAACGAUUUUCUAGUGGUUGGGGAUGAGCUCGCGGCCUAUCAGCUUGUUGGUGGGGUAAUGGCCUACCAAGGCGGCGACGGGUAGCCGGCCUGAGAGGGUGGACGGGCACAUUGGGACUGAGAUACGGCCCAGACUCCUACGGGAGGCAGCAGUGGGGAAUAUUGCGCAAUGGGCGGAAGCCUGAUGCAGCGACGCCGCGUGGGGGAUGACGGCCUUCGGGUUGUAAACUCCUUUCGACCGCGAGGAAGCCACCUGGUUGGAAGGGUGGUGACGGUAGUGGUAGAAGAAGCACCGGCUAACUACGUG
rnacentral:rRNA from 1 species